AAAGAAGAUAGAGACUGAAUCACGUCCAUGUACACUACAUCUAAUCAGCUUUUGUCGAAUCCUUUGGACUUGACUGGGUACAUUUCUGUAUAUGAGAGAAGCCAACUAAAAUGGGUCCUUGGUAAGCCGCUGGAUGUCGUAGUGCUGAGCAGGGUGUUCACUGCGAGAGUUUUCAGUUGGGUUGCUUCGGUUUGGGAGGCUCCCGCCCGUAAUGAGUUCCUUCCUGGCGCCAGUGAGAACUCAACUCCUUCGGUCUCGGCGUCAUUGGAAGAAAGGACAACCACUUAAGCUGACAGCACUUGUUUCAGACAACAUUGUGCAAUGAGCUUGGGAUAUUCCCAGCGCGUUCAUCUGCGUAAGAACACUUCGCAAUAUCUAGCUUUGUGAUAUCGAAGGAAAGCUCGAAUCUUAGAGUGCGACCGUCUCUUCCCAAUCCUCAAGGUUUUUACAGUCACAAUUUACAAUCGAGGUAUUCAGCGGGACCCAAAGGUGGAAAGCCGAUUUGUGCCGCUUGUCCUGUUUACAUUUACUGCUGCUAACUGGAAACUCCUCGUGGUGAGGUUGAUACGUGAAUCAUCACAGCCUACCAAACAUGUAGCUUUUCUGAGAAACCCCGCAUUUCAAACAGAUGUAGAGAAAAUGAACACUCCGUUUGAAAUCAUCAUACUAAUUUCAACGAAGUCCGCCUAGUUCAGUGAGCUUGAACUCCGAAGGGAAGAGCGAUGCUUCUGUUGUUGAACACAACACCAACACGAUUUUGUGGGGCGGUGGCGGCAGAUUGUUCCAUAUCCUAUGCAGAAGAGCGGGAGCACUUCAGAGUAUAAGUACAGUGGGGUCUCACUCACGAAGUAUACCUUUCUCGGCCUUUUGGCUAAGAUCAAGUGUAGUAUCUGUUCUUAUCAGUUUAAUAUCUGAUACGAGGCUCAUCGAGCCUCAUGAUAUUAAUCUAAUUUUUUUCGGGUGCGGGUCCAUCCGACAGCUUGCUGCCCGGACCCGCGAGCGUCGCCUUGGUAUUGCACUACGUCCUUAGCUGGCGCAGCCCUCUCCCUCUUCCCCUGGAGGGACCCCCACAAUGUAAGGUCUCAAACAGGAAUCCCUGAAUUCCAUUACUACUAAUGUAAAGUGAUGACUAUUGUUGAUUUUAGUACUUCA